rnacentral:tRNA from 1 species
GUCGCGGUGGCUAAGCGGUAAAGCGCUUGGCUUCCAAACCGGGGUCCGGGGUUCGAAUCCUUGUAAAGACU